UGCAGCCAGGCAAUGAGAGCACCGGCUUAGUUACAAGCUGAAAGGGCUGAGAGCCUUUAAGGAGGCCGAGACCCCGGAUUAGCGAGGGUGUUUCCAAGCGGGGCGGCGGUGCCCGCCCGUCUGGGCCGGACGCGCAAGGGCGGCCGGCAGGCUCGGGCUGCCGCUGCCACCUUCUGGACACAGGCGCCAUCCACCUUCCCCUCCGCGUGGAAGAGCACGACGGAAAGCGGCUUCAUUUCACUCCCUAGUCCUGCUUUUGCGGGUUCCUCCCCGCCUCCCUUUGAACCCCUCAGUCAUGUAGCACAUAACUGAGGGGGAGCAGCCCCCACAGGGCAGCAGCAGAAUCCAAGCCGGCUGCACGGUGCAUCCGGCCUGCUGUGGAAAAGUAUGUACCACAAGCUCACAAAAACGUUCCCGGUUUUAGCAUUUUGUUUUCUUCAAGCACUUCUGUGAAACAGCCAAGCCUGGCAGAAGUAACACAAGACUCAUUUAAGAAACACCUGUACGUUUUAGGGAUGAAAAGCAGGGGUAUGUAAGGGCACCCAUGUAAAUGCCAGAAGUGCCGUCUCAGGGGCUCAGAGUGUUUAUUUGAGCAAGGACGAGCCUGUGGAGAGGGGUCUGACUUGCCUUGGGGGCUGGUUAACUUUAGUGGCCAUGUACGAGUGCAGAUACGAAAUCCUGCCAUUUAUGCCAACAGCAGUUGUGUUGUCGCAGAGAACUGUGGCCUUUAACAUCCAAAACACAAACUGUUGCAUGUGGUUACACCACAGGCAUUUCUGAGAGCAAGGCUAAGGUUAGAGAGGCCACCUCAUUCUGAAACAAUCCAAAAUUAUAUCUCACAUGUACAGCAGCUGCAGUUCUUUCUAUUUCUUAUAGCUGCAGAGUGGGACUUGACUGCUGUCUUCCAAGAGGCAAAUGGGAUACAUACACCCAACACAGUCCUCAAAACUGGCUUGCAGAAUAAGCUUGGGAGCUGCUUUCAGUGCAGAGAAGAUGUCUCCAAGGAAUGGUUUAAAGAGCACAAUUAGGAGUGGUAGGCCAGAAAAAAGCUGUGAGGUUGGAAAAAAAUAUCUGAACCAACAGAAAGCAAAGAGGAGCCAAAGAAGAAGCUAUGGGGACAGUCAGGAAGCAGGCAGCAAUAAAAAGCUGCAGGCUGCAGAGUGCAGUCUGCAGGGCACCACACUGAAGACCUGUUGUUUUGCCCCAAACUAAGAUGGAACUUAAGAAAUAUGGACUUUGAACCUGCCAAAUGCAUGCAGCAGCUGCAAGCAUGCAGCAUGUAAAACAAAGGGCCUCAAUUUAGUGGCAGCUUUUUUAGGGAUUACUAUAACAUGAGACAGUGGCAGUAGAGGCAAUGGGCCUUAUGAAAUGUACACAUAAUAAAAUGUCAUCUAUAAUGGGAACUUGAACGAUCUCAGUAUUAUAUAAAUGCUGCUGCACUUCUAUAUUGCAAAUAACACACCUGUUUCCAUUUCAGAGGAUUGGGCUCAGAAGUAAUGUGGAGUCGGGCUGAAGGACCCAUAAAGCAAAUGUGCAGCAACAAUUUGCCACCUUAAUUCCACUCCUGGUUCUGCUUUCAUCCUGUGGUCCAGUGGAAGAACAAAACCAAUGACACAGCUACUGUCACCAAAACUGGGAUUGCUGCAGCUUCAGCCCAGGCUGCCAAUCAGCUCUCUCCCACGGAGAGGCUAAUACGUCAAAGUGGCUAAUGGAGAGAUCCAACAUGUGUCAGAACCAGGGCAUGGUAAGCAGCAGAAUUACCAAGACCAAGGACUCCUGAGAAGAGAAAAAGGAGUGGGGAUUGUCUUUCUUCUGUGUGAACUGAAAUUGUCUGAGGGUGUUUCAUGGAAGAACUGUCUUAUUGCAAGGACUUGUUAUUAGAAGGGAAGUGGGAAUUGACAGAAGUAGAACAAGUAAGGGUCCUGCUCUUUGGAGGAGUGUGUAUAUCAGGGUGCAAACUAGAAUGGUAGAAAUCCCAUAGAUCUACAGAGGAUCUCAUGGGUAGAAAAAACUGUAUAUAUGCAGCAGCUGCAACACACAAGACUAGGAGAUGCAUAAAAUUCAUAUGGAAAUAACUAUGUAGCUCCCCCGUGAAAGAGUGAGCCUGACUGCACAGCCAUGCCUACAUCAAGUCUGCUGUUUCUGAUGUGUUGCACUUCAUAUGCACGGCUGGACAGCACAGCACGCACACAAAGCAGCUCCUGUGAGGGGCUUCAUGUCCUGUAACUGCUGUGUGUGCUCACAGUGCUGACAUCCAGAGUUCCCAGGCAUGCAGCAACCAGCUCAGAAGAGUCUGCUCUCUUCAACUACCACACAUCUGGAAAGCCCAGACAAAUUUAUGAAGCCCUCAAAAUCUGCCUAAAUAUGAUUUCCAGGUGCAAAGAGUAAAUGUGCCUGGGAAAGGGAAGCCUGUAGCAUCCAGGAAGUCCUUUGCUACCUGCACAAAAGCAAACAUAGGACACCAAAAGUUUAGGAACACCUGUUCUAAAGAAGUGAAGGCAGGGCUGGAGCAUAAGUCUCACAUUCUUCCCCUGUCUUCUCUACUGACUUGAUUUAGCACAAUUACAUUUGACAAUGAAUUUGAAAGGACAUGCUUUCACAUCAUGGAAAUACAAGAGACAUCUUGAAUUCCAGCUUCACAAAUGUGCCUGUCACUGAUGCCAUUACAAAAGCUGCAUAAGGAACUUACUUCAGGUCUAGACACCCAGGAAGAAAAUAACUGUAAACGAGUAAGAGACUAUUCACUAAGAUGAGAUUCCACCCUUCUCUCUCCUUUAAAUGGCAUUGGCUUACAAAAUUAAUUACUUACACGCCUCACAGAGACGCAGUAUUUAAUUAAUAUAUGUUAACUGCUUUGCAAUUCUGAUGGAAGACAUCAUACUAUUGUGCAUAAUGAUUAAUACAGUGUAAAAGUGAUGGCAUUGGUGUUGCUCAAGCAGAAUGCUGAAAGGAUAUCUAGUCAAUUUCUGAUUUAAAAAGGGGAAUGGAGACAGAAAAGGUUUAGGAAAGCUAUUUAAAACUCAGCCUAAAGAAAAAGGGAGAACUGGGAAGGAGAGGAACUAAAACAUUUUUCAGAGGUAUUUACUGUGUGAUGUGCAUUAACUCCUGCAAAACUGAAGUGUAAGUGCCCACAGCAAAAUCCUGGCUCAAAUCAUGUACAUGGAAAAUGUUUCACUGACUUCAGUGAGGUGAAGAUUGUUAGUUUUUGUCAUAAUUUCCAGCAGAUGCAUCCCAUAUGCAGGUCUGCAACUUUGCCCGGUUCCUUGUUUAUAGUUUAGGUUCAGGAAAUAACCUCAUCAAGCUCAGGCAUGCUCACCAUGUAAAGGCAACUGCUCAGCUUUUAAUCUUUCUACUACAUCCUACACUUGGAGUAAACCUUUCCAUACUGUUAAUGAACUUGGACUUGAGCUACCUAUUUAUGUUGGUGGCAAAACUCCAAUUAAAUGGAAGCUCUGUGGAGAUCACUGUAGAUUUUGUAAUAAACGUGGGAAGCAAACAUCCUGUGUUUAACAGUGUAUACCCCUGGAGUUAACUCAUUUACUCAGAAGCCUGUGGAAUUUUGACUGCAAAAACAAACCAAACCAAACAAAAAAAUCCCCAAACUCUCAAAGUAACAGAAAUUCAGGCAACUUAUUUUUUUAAGCAUUAGUCCUCAUACCUAAUAAGAUUAAUAUUCAGAGAAACAAGUUCCUCACCACUUCUGGGUAAGGCAGAGUUAAUCCAACUGAAAGCUUUGGACCUGUGAGACUCAAAGAAGAAAGGUUAAAAAGAGUAGUAAGGGAGAGGCGCCAAAAUUUGAGAAGAGGUACCUGUGAGCUUCUAGUAUUGAGAAGAGUAAUUUUAAAGCAGAAGCCUACUACUACUUUAGACAGGAGACUAAGCGAAAAUGUUCUAGGCUUCAAAUUUUGAUAUAUUUUUAUGUCUGACAAGGAUUGAAGACUGUUAUGUGGUGUAUAUGGGGCUCUUGGUAAGCUAUUAAUUACCCUUUUCCAAGUGGUGUGUGAUGGCUUCCAUCUUCUUAAUGUACUCCUAUUCAGCACAGGAAAUCUUAGAAGUACUAUUUAUUCUAAAGCACCUGUUAAGGUGGGUUCUCUAACCAUGCUACGUGUAGAAAUGUUGUACUACAGCACUUGUAGAGCAGUUUUGUGUCUAUGCAACUGCUAGACCAAAUGUAAUGAUCAAGUUGCACAUAGCAGCUCUCCCUUUCAUUUGUGCUAGCAUGCUAUAUGUUUUUAAAUGUACUGCAGGCUCUGAAGCACGUAGGCUUGUAGUUUUCUCUCUCAGUGCUUGUACAGCUGUGUCCACAAGUGUAUCUGUCCGGUAAAAUCCAAGGAAAUGUUCCUGGAUGCCAGGAUUAAGCUUAGAUAGCUGCAGCUCUUAAUAACUCACAUGCAGCUCACAUUGUAAUUCUAAGUGCUGACAGUUGUUUUCCAGUCCUACUGGAAUAAGCAACAUCAUUCUUCCAUCUAAAACUCAGUAGUCAAAAUGUGUUGGUGUAUGAACUACAUCAUGAUGCUGCUUUCAGGAUCCUAAGAAGAGAUUCUAUUAAGGUGCCAAGGCAAAAAUUCAAGCCUAAAGAUUUUAUUGACUAGAAGUUAAAUGUGUGAUAAGUCAUGCAAAAACAGUGCUGUGUCACUUUUGUAAACAGGUAGGCUGUGUUUCCUUCCUCAGAGUGCUCAUCAGUAAGAUACUUACUGGACAACCAGUACCACCAAGGCCACUGAAGGGAUGCUAACCAUGUAUUUUGAAGAGGUUUUAAUUUUGUGCAGGGGCCAGAAGAAAAUUAUACCAGAAAUCAGAGUAAGCAAGGCUAUAUGUAAGACUUCGUGAUGUCUGUAUCGUGCAGACAAGACAUGAAGGAUUUUCAAGAUAAUAGUAUUCCUCAUUUUUAGACCUCAAGAAAAAACACCCUCCUGUUAAGUAAGGUAUUUCACAGCUUGUUUUCUUCACUGUGUGUCCAUCUAAAUUAUCCUUGACUCUUUACCUGGCAAAGUCUGUAUUUCCCCUACUGGCUUACACUUUUUCUCCCAGCAGGCUGAAUAGCAGCCCAGCAGCAAUCUCUAGUAAAACCACACCUGUAUGGAAAGUAUCUGAAUUUUUCUAAGCCUAUCAAAUGAAUCAUAAUCACUCUUAUCUCACAUGCUUUCCAGACCAGGUUUUUGCAGUUCUCUAACGUUUUAACUUUUGUUUCUGUGCCUGGUUUUAAUGUUAAAAAACUUCUUUCAUGCUUCUCUCCUGCCAUGACAGGACAAAUCUAAUUAUUUUUAUCUCUGGCAAGACUUGCAUUCCUUCUACUUACUUACAACCUGCCAAACUGAACUAUCUGUAUCCAUAAAUGCCUCUGUACUCUGAGUUAUCUUUUUAUUUCAGCCUACCUCCCAGGUACCCAACAUACAUUUCCCAGCCUCAGGCAAUGGAUCCCUCAUGUUACACCAAAAUGAGUGUUGCUCAGAUGACCGUGUCUUUUUGAGUAGUCCAGAUCUUGGUGUAUCACUGUUUACACCUUCAGUUUCUGGUGUUCACCAACACCACAUAACCAGUUGCAGAGGCUCCUGUAGACUGCUAAAAGACUGAAAAGGAGUGGUGAGAGGUCUUUUGGGACAGUUUUAGACUUCUGUUGGAUCUAAUUUCCUUAUGGAUAUUGCUACUUCUUAUGGGUCUUCCUUCUGGAGGAGUUCAAGAUGUCAAUUUUAAUUAUUUUAAUGCUAGACUGGAUUCUUAUAAUUAUUGCUGGCUAUGUCUAUAGCAGGAAUACGCAUGAGUCUGCAAAUGAAAAUACCCGAUGCUGAGGAUUGUGUUCCCCCUAUGGGUUCUGUGUGUGUGGUUGGUUUAGGUUAGUCCUUGCCUGCCCUCACAGACUUUACCACCAUUGAGUUGUGGAGAGUGUUGAGCAUUCACUGGUGGUGCAGCCUCUGAACUUCAUGUUCAAGUCAAAGUGCAGUACAUGGAAACAAUCUGCUUCAAACCCACGCUCUUGGCUCUCACUCAUUUCACAUCAUCAAAGCGAGAAUCUGCACUACUGCUGGUGCACAGAUCAACACCUGUCAGACAGUCUGGGAGAUUACUGUUGCCAUUAAUGAACUUAAUCCACAUCUGGAGAAGGCACACAGGGAUGUGGAAGAUUUCUAUCUCUUUGUUAGUUAAUGGGAGAAGCUUACAAAGCCAAUCUUCAAAGCAGAUACAGCUACAAAUAGGAAAAAAAGAAAACAUUCCCUCUUCACUUGCCUCCAGUUUGAUCCAUAAGAGGUCUAAUGUCAUGAUGGCAGAAUACAUUUUGAUGUAAUGGAUAAUUGGGCUUACUAUGUUUAUAGUGAUCAAAUUAAUAGCAGGAUUGACUUUUUAUUUGGUGAAGGGAGGGGUAAGAAAGGCAGGGCAAAGACCCUAUUACCUACUGUGUACCGAAGAUAUGUCGAGUACUUUCAGAGAGCUCUGGAAAUGGGGCUAUGUAUUCCAGCUGGUGGUAUGCUAAGCAAACACUUAGUGAAAACACUUAAACACCAAGAAAAGCUAAUUACUCUGCCCUGGAGGAAGGGGGUUGGGGUGGUUAAAUUCAACUGCUAUUACUGCUGUGCAGUUGUUAAAAAUCCACCACUGCACCACAGCAGAUUAAAGGGUUCUGUCACAACAUUCUAAUACCAGAAAAGAUCCUCAUAACAUACUAAAAGACAAAUGUCACAAUAAAAUACCUGGUAAUGCUUUUUCAAGUUGCUCACAACAGGGAAAAGACUGAACUAUGCUGAACAGGUAACUUGAAAUUUUUCUAACAUAUUCCAAUAUUCUUGUGUAUCAGGUAGCUUUUCAGAAGCAUACUCUCAAGAACUUUCUAUUCCUUACAAUAUGCUGAGUAUAAAAAAGUAAAAACUGCAUCUUCAAGAGGUUAGUUCCCACAUUAGCCUGAUGGUCAUUUAACUGCUCCUCCCAGAAACUGAGACGUAUUAUAGCCUUUUUCUGCAACCUCCUCGGUUAUGCAAAACCACAGCCCAAAACUGUAAACUGAGUCACUAACAGCAGUACAGAGAAAUAGAAAAAUCCAGCUAGUGCCUUUCUUCCCCCACUUCUCUCCCAUUUGCUUGAAUAUGCAAGCAUUUCAAGGCAGGUAUUCACACACAUCACUUGUUGAGUUCUCUUUUAGUGGCACUUGUACAGCUGGGAGUUACAACAAGCAGAGAAGCCUGCACACAGAAGUUGUCUAGAGCUGAUGCAGCCAACCUACAGAACUGUGCCUAGAGCCUCCUCUUAACUCCCAGAACCACAAGCUGGGCUGCUACC